GGGGGUGAGAUCCACCUGUAGCCUGAGGUCUAGUUUCAACAGGUUACAUUGUGGAUAAAACCGGUUCUUCUGUAUACAUAUAUGUACACAUGUAUAUAUUUAUAUAUACACACAUAUCUUUAAUGUUGCUAUUUCAGGUUUUCACUCUUUUUCUUUCAGUGAAGUCGUUAUUUUUAUCAAGAAAAGCUUACUCUUUGGUUCUGGGGUGCAUAGUGUGGUGCAUGUCUGCCACGUGUAAGUCACGGGGGGCUGUAUCCUGACAAGCACCUCGCAUGGUGUUUGGACCAACUGGCCAAGGUCUCACCUCCACUGAGAGCUCUAGGACACAGCUCUUGGCUUCCCUCCUGUUUGAUGCAGUGCAGCACGGGGUGUUAGCAGCUUACGUGGAUGGUGUUUCCCUUGAAAGAGACAACUCUGUGCUGCAGCUAUACCUAUCAUAUAAAGAAACUUUGGCCAGCAUAAUGAGAUAGAUCCGCAGUGUUGCAGAAGAGUAAAUAAAUGCAUUGGUGCAGUGGAGUGUAAAGCAAAAGGAUGUAAACAGGUCUGAGCACAUAUUCAAAUGUUCUCGGAUUCGGUUGUUCACUGCUUUCUGCAGACAGUGGAGUGCUUGGCGCUGGCCCUUUUCAUCUAGCUUGCUUCAAAAAAAUUAAAAUAAUUUAGAUGUGACUAACAUUUCUUUUACAUUUGCCAUCCAUACAAAUUAUAGUAGUGGUCAGGUGUGCAACUGCAAAUGGAAGGGGCAGUUAUCCAUACUGCUGGAGGUGGGAGUCAGCUGAAUACCAAUGAGACUUAGGCUGUCAAAACUACAGAGGGAGGAAAAUGUGAUUAAGGAACUAUAUGCUAGGUAGAUCAGCAAAAUCUGCAUUGUGUACUAAACCUCUCCAACCCAAAGAUUCACCUUUCAUCAACUGUUAUAUUUUCUUUCUCAGGAAAGUAAUGUUGCAAACAAGCUAGCAAGCACCCAAGCUGAAUAAGAUCAGUAUCUGGAAGAAUCUAAGAGGCAGGCUUAUUUCUGAGAAAUGUUGUGGCCUGGAAGAAGGAACAUCAAUGAUGCUCGGAGCAUUUCCUUAUUGGUAAGAUGUAGUUAAAGCGAUCCUUGGAUUCGGAAAUGUUAAAUGAUCUCUCAGUUUAAAACUACAGGCCUUUCCAAAUGCUUCUCAGCACACUGAGAUGUGCAUUUUGCCCUGUUGCAUUUUAGCUCUACAGGUGUAAGGUUGGCUGACUGCGUAGGACCUAAUCCUAUAAAUCUAUGGGCAUGAUCUAGAAAAUACUGAGCAACCCCAACACCUUUUAAAAAACAUCCAGAGGUGAGUGACGUUCAAUCAUCAAAUAGACUCUCCAAGCACUCAAGCGAUACUUUAAGCCCAAAGCUAUAUUUGCCUUA